UACAAUGUUAUUGAUCAGUAUAUGUUAAUCUAUAUAAUGAUAAAUAAAUAGACAUUUCAUUUUUUUAGUAUUCAAUUUGAUUUGUGUAGAAGUUUAUUUUAUCUAGUUUUAGUAUAUCUACGUAUUUAAAUUGAUUUUUUAUAUUUAGGUUGAUGGUUUGCUACAUCACUUUGAUGUUUUGAUGUGUGGAGUGAAUGCAGGUGAACUCUUGAUAAAAGCAUUAGAUGAUGAAAAGUUUAUGGAUAUUUGCUAUUUACAGCAAAUCAGUUCUUGCUGGUAGUUGAUUGCAUUGUUGUGGUUGAUGGAAUGGCCAAUUUUAUCAAGUCAUUUUGUUGUUGUUUUUAUAUUUUUAAUAUACCAUAUUCAAAAGAAGCUUCAUCUAUAUUAGAAUUUUUUCAACGUGCAUUUUUCGGCAUCAAUCCUGAAAAAGGGAGCAAAUCAAGCCGUACGAAGAAGACUUCAUCAAUAAACAAAGUAUUGCUGUCAAUACUGUAGAAGUUUGCGAGAUUUAAUAAUAUUUGAAUUUACCACGUAGUCAAACUUCUAAAUAUAACUUUGAAAAAACAAUUUAUUUUGAAGUUAUUUAUAUUUUUUUGUAAAUUUUCAAAAGUUUUACAAUAAUAUCUU